CGGGGGGGGUGGCGUUGCUCUGGCGGCCAGAGGCCGAACUAACAUAGAGACUUGUGGUGCCCGUCUUCAAACCCGCCAGUUUUCCGUUAAUUAUAUCCAUAAUUAGUGCGUUGUGCCGCUUCUAAUUGCGAAGAUAGACGUAGGAAUCACUGAAGAGAUAAGUGAACAGUGAUAUAUCGCAGAGGGACCUCCUGACACUACUAGUAUCAAACCUCCUCCAGAUCUGCAGCUUCUAGCUACAGCGGGAACGAUUUCACAUCCAGGAAGAGCUGAACAUCUUGAGACAGAAGUGGGAACGAUCACACCCAGAGAUCCUGUGAAGUGUCAACUCGACCUAUAAGGCUUCGUCUUCUGCAAAUAAUAUUAAUACUGAAGCGUCCCUUCCAUGUUUAGACAGAUUCACCGCUUGGGAGUUGCCAAGGGUGACAAGAGCAGCAGCAGCGGUCUAGGAUGGACCAACGCCUGACAUUGGGUGGGCGUGGUCCCAGCUGUGUCCAGCUAGCAUCUCGCUACGAAGGUACCCGAGAUGGUGCAGGAGUUGGUGAGGAACUGCCAUUCUAAGGCAACGAACUUAGGGAUCUGUGGCAGUUACUUGCAACACAGAUCGUCCCUCUACAUCCAAAUUGAAGGAAAUUGCGCAAGUGGUCCAGGAAACGUCCACAUGAAGUCCCCAAAAGCCAACAUGCCAGAGCGCUCGUGAAUGUCGUGCGAGAAGUAAGGCUAUUUUUAACUCCCUGCAAUAUGGCCGAAUUGCAAUCAUAAGUCCAAAUAUGACGAUUUUACAUGCAUAGUGGUCAAUUAAUUGCCAAUAGACGCAAUUUUUCACAGCUUGAAGGAAAUGUCCUUUUGACACCGUCCCUUCAAAAUAAUGAACUUUUCCAGCAAACCGUGAAAAAUUGUGUCUGCAUGGAAAAUCGUCAUAUUUGGACGUCUGAUUGCAAUUCGGCCAUAUUGCAGGGGGUAAAAAUGGCCGAAUAAUACGCUCUACUUUUAAAAACUUCCUUGUAGAAUGUUGUUUAUUAUACUUUUAUCUAUCUAUCUAUCGAUCUAUAUAUCUUUAUAUGUGUCUUUAUAUAUUGUUUUAUAUAUACCUAUAUAUAUUGAGGGAAUAAAUUUUUACUC